rnacentral:rRNA from 1 species
CAAAAACAUGUCCUUUUGAAUUUAAUGGAAGGUCUGGCCUGCCCAGUGAUGAAUUUAACGGCCGCGGUAUAUUGCCCGUGCAAAGGUAGCANACUCAUUAGUCUUUUAAUAGAGGGCUGGAAUGAAAGGUUUAACGAAGAACUGACUGUCUCAUUUUAUUUGUUUUAAAACUUAAUUUUUUAGUUAAAAAGCUAAAAUAUUAUUGGAAGACGAGAAGACCCUAUAGAUCUUUACAUGUACUGAUUUAAAUAAAAUUAUAUUAGUAUUUUAUAUUAGUUUGUGUUUUGUUGGGGUGACAAAAAUAUAAGCAUAACUUUUUUAUUUAUUAACCAUUGAUUUAUGAAUAUUAGAUCCAUUAUUAUUGAUUAUUAGAUUAAGUUACCUUAGGGAUAACAGCGUAAUCCUCCUCCAGAGUUCAUAUUUACAGGAUGGGCUNGCGACCUCGAUGUUGGAUUAAGAUAAUAGUUAGGUGUAGCCGCU